GUCUGUGGCCUCCGUGCUGAGACUAAUUGGUUUGCAGGGUCUGGGGAGGAAGAGAGAGAGGCUGGUAGGAGCCCCUAUAAAAAAAAGAUCAAACGGAAUUCACUUGAAAAUAUUUCCCUUUUAUAAGAGGCUUUCCUGGCACUUGAAUUUUAAGUAACCUAUCUCUUGUGCCUGGGCCGAAAUGAAGGGGGACAUAGUCCUGCUAAUGUAUUUAUUUUGUUGUACAGUAAGCCCAGGGUGUCGGCACUUGUCAUAUGUGCUGGGAUCAAUGCACAGUGACUACCCUUGCCCAGCACAAAUCACAGCAAGUGGCACUGGCAUGAAAGAAUGCCAAAGACGGGGUGAGGGUACCUUAUAUUUUAUUUUUAUUUUCCAGCCCAGCAGCAAACAUGGACUAGAAUCAUGUUUUUGAAGAAAUGCUUCGUUUUGUUUCCCUUGCUCUAUGAGUUAGCGGUAUAUUCCCUUUAUCUAAAUGUUUUGCAUUUUUAGACUGAUUUGGGAUGAUUUAAUCAGUCGGGGGGGAAAAAAAUUAGCACCCACCAAGCCAAAAAACUUCUGUGGUUUUCUAACUUUGUCUUUCUUUUUUUAAAAAAAGUAACUGGUAGUCAAUCAAAACAGCCGAAAUAGUUUGUACAUGAUUCUAGAGCUAUGUGCACACAGACAAGAAAUAAUAAUGCCUUUUCCUUCAGUGGCACGUUUUACAAGACAUUCAAUGGUAUAAAAAAAAAUCAGGAAGAAGUCAGCCUCUCCUGUGUCCCUGCUGAUCAGUUAUCCACUGAGAGCAGUAGUGGCCAAGCUGUGUUAGAGUUCUGAAAUUUCAUUUCCAUUAAGCUACCAAAAGAAAGAAGCUGGAGAAAUAUGAAGGGUGGCAUCCACAUCGGAAAUGCUGUGUGGAAAACGAAGAUCAUUGAAAGUUUUACUGAGAUGUGUUGAAAGAGUCUGGGGUCCAGGCUAUGCUUUCAGACUCCGAUAUUCCAUGGCCUUCGACAGACACUAAGACAAGCAGAACCAAAGCAAUUCUUACCACACAGCCCGUGGUCACAGAAAACAGCCUAUGGAGGGUCUGUCGCUGAAAAGAAUGGCCUCUGGAAGAGAACCGAAAGGGGAAAAGAUGUGGAAAUGGACUAUUUUCUUACAGCUGAGCCUGUUUUGCAGCAAUGGAGUGAAGCUCGAAAACAUAGUUGGAGGUGUUCACCAGCGAAACAGUCGUCUUCUGAGCCAUGCAGGUGGACUUUUACAGUGUUUCAUCCAGGAGUGCAGCAGAAAUAAGCUCACGUGACUUGGGAGGCUAGAUCAUUACAAGGGCUUCUGAGUGGAUCUUUCUGGAUCGGUGGACCUUUAGAUCCCUGAGCUGCCACGUAAGAAGUCCGGCCACGACCCCAAUGCUACCAUGCUGGAUAGACCAUCUAAAGAUUUUGAGAGAUGCCCAAGGAGCGCCAUCUGUUCUAGUCCCCAGCUGUUCCAGUCUUCCCGGACCAGGCGCCAGACAUGUGAGCAAGCCUUAAGCCCCACCUCUAAGCCACCCAGGCAAAAAUGAGUAGAGAUGAAACAAGCUGACCCCGCUGAGGCCUGUCCAGACUGCAGUCUUCAGCAAAAUAGAUGGUAUUGCUGUUGUUUUAAACUACUAAAUUUGGGCAGAUUGCAACAGCCAUGGUAACUGAAACAUUUGGGAGAGAGCAGGAAUUGAGGAGCAAAGGGCUGGGAACUAAGAGCUAGAGAAAUAUCUUGUAGCACUGGUACUGCCACCAAGAUGACUCAACUCCAAGUGUCUCUCCAAUACUGUAUCGCUUGCUUAAGAGUCAAAGUCCUGGAGAGUACAUCCAAGGACCCAAAUGAGACUGGAAAUAUACCUUCUGCUGAAUCUUAGAGAUGCUGGAAUGAUUUGGUAGACAGAGCCCCCAGUGGCUACUGAGGCUCCCCAGUAAGGAAGCAGGCACCUGGAUUUGUCAUCCCCACCAAGACUAUAACUCGGGGGAAAGAAACUGGAUUGUGUUUUGGAACAGCAAAUGGGUGACAGACGUCAAACAAUGAGUCCAUUCAGACCACAUUUCAUUCUACUUUGAUUAAUAGUUUUCUUUAGUUAUAGUAUCCUUGAAUACAAAUUAAUU